CCUACGGGGGGCUGCAGUGGGGAAUAUUGGACAAUGGGCGCAAGCCUGAUCCAGCAAUGCCGCGUGUGUGAAGAAGGCCUGCGGGUUGUAAAGCACUUUGAGUGGGGAAGAAGGCCUUGGGGUUAAUAGCUUCUGGGAUUGACGUUACCCACAGAACAAGCACCGGCUAACUCCGUGCCAGCAGCCGCGGUAAUACGGAGGGUGCGAACGUUAAUCGGAAUUAGUGUAGGUAAAGCGAGCGUAGGCAGUUGAAAGCCCUGGGCUUAACCUGGGAACUGCAUUGGUUACUGUUUGACUGGAGUGUGGUAGAGGGGUGUGGAAUUUCCGGUGUAGCAGUGAAAUGCGUAGAGAUCGGAAGGAACACCAGUGGCGAAGGCGGCACCCUGGACCGACACUGACGCUGAGGUGCGAAAGCGUGGGGAGCAAACAGGAUUAGAUACCCCAGUAGUC
rnacentral:rRNA from 1 species